AUUAGGAAUCUUGCGCAAUGGGCGAAAGCCUGACGCAGCGACGUCGCGUGAAGGAUGAAAUCUUUCGGGAUGUAAACUUCUUUUACCAGGGAAGAAUAAUGACGGUACCUGGUGAAUAAGCCCCGGCUAACUACGUGCCAGCAGCCGCGGUAAUACGUAGGGGGCGAGCGUUGUCCGAAGUUACUGGGCGUAAAGAGCGCGUAGGCGGGUUUUUAAGUGAGGGGUGAAAGUCCGAGGCUCAACCUCGGAACUGCCUUUCAUACUGGGAACCUUGAGUGCGGGAGAGGCGAGUGGAAUGGUCGGUGUAGCGGUGAAAUGCGUAGAUAUCGAUCGGAACACCCAUGGCGAAGGCAGCUCGCUGGCCUGUAACUGACGCUGAGGCGCGAAAGCGUGGGGAGCAAACAG
rnacentral:rRNA from 1 species